GACGAACGCUGGCGGCGUGCUUAACACAUGCAAGUCGAGCGAUCGGCCUUGGAGGGGUAACCCUCCUUGGUACGGAGCGGCGAACGGGUGAGUAACACGUGGGCGACCUGCCCCUGACUCUGGGACAACCCCGGGAAACCGGGGCUAAUACCGGAUGACAUCGCAGUGCUGCAUGGCACCGCGAUCAAAGCUCCGGCGGUCAGGGAUGGGCCCGCGGCCUAUCAGCUUGUUGGUGGGGUAACGGCCCACCAAGGCGACGACGGGUAGCUGGCGUGAGAGCGUGACCAGCCACACUGGGACUGAGACACGGCCCAGACUCCUACGGGAGGCAGCAGUGGGGAAUCUUGCGCAAUGGGCGAAAGCCUGACGCAGCGACGCCGCGUGCGGGAUGAAGGCCCUCGGGUUGUAAACCGCUUUCGGCAGGGACGAAGCGAAAGUGACGGUACCUGCAGAAGAAGCCCCGGCUAACUACGUGCCAGCCGCCGCGGUAAAAC
rnacentral:rRNA from 1 species